rnacentral:lncRNA from 1 species
GAGCCGGGCGCCAGCCCCGCGGUCCUGCCCCGGCUCCGGCUGUCAGCGCGCGGCCGGCCCCGCCCACAGGAGGAAUUAGCAUACAAUGGGGCCACGCCCACAGGGGGGUGCGCGGCGGGCUAAUUAGCAUACACCGAGGACCACGCCCAGGGGCUGGGGCAGGCUAAUCAGCAUUCACCGGAAAGCCACGCCCACUGGCGCCGGCCGGGCCAAUUAGCGUACAGGGACGACCGCGCCCUCACGCGGGGCGGGGCGGGGCGGGGCGGGGCGGGGCGGGGCCGGGGCCUCCUGCUUCUAGGAAACUGGAAACCUGCCGGAGGCGUGGGGUGCUGCCCGCUGCUCCGAUGUGUCGAGGAGCAGGGCCUGAUCACCGUCCCAAGCACUCAGU